rnacentral:rRNA from 1 species
UACAGAGGGGGCAAGCGUUGUUCGGAAUUACUGGGCGUAAAGGGCGCGCAGGCGGCAGACCAAGUCAGGCGUGAAAGCCCCGGGCUUAACCUGGGAGGUGCGUCUGGGACUGGUAUGCUAGAGUUCGGGAGAGGAGAGUGGAAUUCCCAGUGUAGAGGUGAAAUUCGUAGAUAUUAGGAAGAACACCAGUGGCGAAGGCGGCUCACUGGUCCGGUACUGACGCUGAGGUGCGAAAGCGUGGGGAGCAAACAGG